rnacentral:lncRNA from 1 species
AAAAAAAAAUAAACAAAUUAAUAUAUUUAUAAUUUGAUAAGCAAAGCAAAACAUCUUAAUUUCAACAAACAUAUAGGUGCAAUCUAAAAAAUUAAAACAUACGUAAAUUUUAUCCCUAUCUUACGAAAAUAGAUAGAUUAUUUUUGAAAGAUGCUUUUAUCAAAUAAGACGACGAUUUGGAAAAGUAGCGGAGGUAAGGCCCAUCAUUGGAAUAGCAAAAGAGCUCUGCAAUACAAGUGCAAUUUCAGCCGCUUUAAUAUUCUGACUCGUCGGAAGAUCCUCAACAGAAGGAAUCUUCGCCGGGGCUUCUUCCCUCCUGCUCCUAGCUGAACUACCGGUAACUUCUUUCGCCGGAAUGAUAAUUUAGGACGGGCCUGACUGAAUAU